rnacentral:SRP_RNA from 1 species
GCCAGGCAUGGUAGUACACACCUGUACUUCUAGCUACUUGGGAGGCUGAGGCAGAAGGAUCAUUUGGGCCCUGGAUUUCCGGGCUGUGGUGUGCUAUUCUGAUCUGGUGUCUUCACUGAACUCAGCAUCAAUAUGGUAACCUCCUGGGAGCAGGAGGCCACCAGGUUUCCUAAGGAAGGGCGAACCAGCCAAGUUCAGAAACAGAGCAAGUCAAAACUCACAUGCUGAUCAGUAGUAGGAUCACUCCAUGAAAAGGCACUGCACUUCCAGCCAGGGUAACAUAGCGAGACUCGACCUUA